rnacentral:lncRNA from 1 species
CAAAUGUAUUUUUGUUUAUCAAAGAUUCAAAACCGCAUUUAAAGAGGUGUACAUUAUAAGAAGAAUUAAACUAUGUUAUUAGCAGAUACUUACAGAAGACAUCUGGAAGGAUAGUCUUAUCUUAUGGUCCCCAAUAUAGCUACGCAACCAAAGGAAGAACGUCAGGUUACAAAUGACGGCAGUUGCGGAAAAUGCUAGUAAAUGAGUUCAGUGCUGUCAGAUGAUCCCAAACUGGACACUUUAUCAAAGCUGAUCGCUGAUACAUUCAAAAGCACGUUCAAUAUCGAUGAUGUACGAUGAGCACGCAGAUUUCUUGCACUUUAAAAAUGCCAGAUGAAUGAGAUGCUUUAACUUCGUCUUCACGACAAAUAUAAUGUGUUUCGAGCAAAACCAAAAAUGUGGUAAUCACUAUUGCAUUCAUAUAUCUCAUUAAUGAAUAGGACUGCACUGCAAAACUUUGAAUCUCACAUAUAUCCAUCACAUAAACAUUAUAAACAAAAUAUAGAAUUUAAGAAAUCACAAAUC